UAUAUCGUAGACUCUGAGUUAAUCACCAUUAUGACUCAAGAAUUCCUAAAGGACCUGGCUGGCUCUGAAUUGCAGCAGGAAAAGGCAUACCGUGAACAGGUUGGAAGCUAAACCCUCUGGAAUUCAGAGGAUGUGUUCCAGGGCCUUUGAGUUCCUAACCUCUGCCCAGAGCCAAGACACAGAGGCGUGAAGGCACUGCAACAGUGAGGCUCCAGGAGGUUCUCAAACUCAGCCCCGGAAGGAGCUGGUUAAUCAAAUCUCAGAACAAUCUUACCAACAAACAACAAAGAUAUCAUUAUGCCUACACUGCAAAGAGGAAAGCAAGGUCCAGGACAUUUGUGCUCACCUUCUAGCGGGGCAGGGGCGGCUCUCAGGUUCUCAGGUUCCCAAGCUGUCCUUUCCCCCCAACACCAAUAGUUCCCAGUCUGCCCAUGCAGCAUCUGGGAAAUGUAUGAAAAAUAAAAUGAAGGCUGAAGAGGAAGGUGCUCCAAGAUACACCCCAAACUGAUGGUGCCAGUCUCUGGGGGAUAGUCAACGGCAGGGGAAACCAAAGACUGGGUGCUUUUGUUUCAUACUUAUUGCUUGAUACUUGACUUCAUACUUAUUUCAUCCUUAUUGCUUGAGUAUGCACUGCUUUUGUGAUUCUAAAACUAAGAAAAUAAAUGAGCAAAUGUUCCGUAUUGGCAGGAGAUGGGGUGGAUACACUGGGGGGGAGUAGAAUCCAGCACAAGGAAAUGAGCUAAGCUAAGUGUUUAAAACUCUACUCUAGAGUUUUCUCACACACUUGGGAACCCAUCUCGAGGAAAUAAUCAGACAUGCAGACAAAGAUUCCCUUAUGCGCAGCCGGUACAAACCACGCUUUCAAAAAAUAUUAAAUGUCAUGGGAAAAUACUCACGAUGCUCAGAGGAAAAUGACACCAAACUGAGUGUGCGGCACUAAUCCGAAUAUAAAUGUAUGCACAAUAAAAAAGCCUGGAAGGAAAGUCGCAAAAAUGUUCAAUGCGAGUAUCUAAGGGAGGGAACCAUGAUGGUUGACAUUUUCUUAAUUUUCUAGAGGAACAUACAUACUGAAGAUAUUUUGAAAGAAAAAUAAAGAUGCUUGAGUCCCACAUCAGAUGGACUAAGCCAGAAUCUCCGAAGGCUAUGAAUCCUAGAGAUCUGUACAGCACUUUUGAAGUGUUUGGAACUCUUCUGUGUCUACACCAUGCCAGUGCUUUAUAACUAACUGCUAAGAAUCCAAGGCCGAAAGAGGUCUUGCUCCCGCCUGUGCAAGACUCCGUCAACUUGAUUCGCUUGGCCCCUGCAGGUGGUUCUAAGGGAGGGAGUGGCAGGGCAGAGGGCAGCCUGUGGGCAAAGCAGGGCACUUCACAGGCAAAUGCUCCCUGGCAUGUGACUUCCUCUGACUUGGAAACAAAGAGAUCUCCAUGGCUCUAUGAAAAUCGCUUUGCAAAUGAAACGGAAAACAGGGCCUUGGAGAUAGUCAACCCCAAAGCACACCCCUAGAGUCACUCACCUGGAAAUACAGUUAUAGCCAAACACACAGCACCACCAGGUGUAAUUCGAUCAGAGUGUCGCAUCUGUGAGUUGACAAAGUAACAAAAACAUUUCACACAUCGCUCUGCCAUGGGGCUGCCAUUUUUAAAUUUACAGUCCAGGAGGCCCUUGUGCUUCCCAAGAAAGAUAUUUGGGCGCAAUACAACCGAGUUACUCAUGAGGCCCUCUUUAAUCACCGCAGUUAGGGCCCAAGGGGGGCCUUGACAGGCGGAGACAGAACAGGCAAAUCUGAAUGGCCCCGGGGCAAGCUGACCCUGGAGGUCUCCUCCAACCCCUACUCGGAAUCUCUUCCCACUCCCUCACCUCCAACUGCCCAGAUCCCUACCAUAGGUUCCCCCAAGGCUGGGUCCCACUGAAGGUCUGUUUAGCAGAAACUCUCUCUUAAUCAGUCCUUUCACCCACAGUGCUAGCCCCUCAGUGGAAAGGGCUUGAGUACAUAAGCAGAAAAAAUCAGAUUAAUUCAUACUAAGGUGUGAUUGACUGAUGAACUGACCCCUGAGAGCCACAGGAAAUUGGCUAGCCAUGGAGAACAUCUUGGCCCCAACCCACACUGGGCUUUGAGACUCCCACGUCCUCCUGAGAGGCUGGAAGACAGCAAGGUUCCUCUGGACAACUUCAGCCCUCGAGAAGGGAGGCUUCUUCCCGGGUCUCCUUGGUGAGCAUCCGCAGGCCCAAAGCGCUGAGGAGAAACUCUUGGGGCAAUUACAUCAGCACAGGACGCCUUUGUUUUGAGCUAAGGCUGGUUUUCCCACAAGCGACUGAAAUAAAUUAGAGCGUUUUCAACGAGGGCGGUUGAAAGCGGUACUCUUGGAAAAAUCUCAGCAGCUGCUCUUUAUUGGAUUAUAACUAGGAGCAAAACACCCCAAACCACACAAUCGCCUGCAAAGAAGGGGGGGAAAUCAAAUCAAAUACAACAUUGUUGUAGGCUCUGGAAAAUGUUUCCCCAGGAAACCCAGCCUGGGAACCUAGUCAAUGUUCUCUUGCUCGGCUGCGAGGGGAGACAGACACUGCUUCUCGGGGGUCAGAUACAGUUUGUCUACUUACAGGCAGCCAGAGACACCGACAGACAGCCACACACAGGCAGGCUGGAGACAGGGGACAGACAUCCCAGUGCAGGCUGCUGCCAGAGGGAUGCACUGAAGCCCAAGGAGAAUGUCCCGUCUGCUGGGGUGGCUCAGCCCAGAAUGAGACACACCAGGCUCUCUGCUGAGAGGUCUUUAAAAAUAGAUAAAACCACCCUGCUUGUGGGGUGAGUGCAGCCCAUCAUGCCCUGGAGCCCAGAGGUGGGAUAUGUUCCUUAGGAAAUCCAUAGAGGCAUUGAUCCAUUAUUGGUAUCUAAUUCGGCAGACGGCCUGAGAUGGAAAGAAGGAGCUAGAAGACCAGAAACCUGGCUGGGUCUAACACUGCUAAUACUUAGCUCUGUGAGCUCAGACAAGCCAUUUCUCUUUAGCUGAGCCUUCAUUCCCUCAUCCAUAAAAUGGCUAUAAUCUGAGAACACACAGACACAUGGAGGGGAAUGGCACACAAUGGAGCCAAUCAGAGGGUGGAGGCUGGGAGGAGGGAGAGGAUCAGGAAAAAUAACUAAUGGAUACCAGGCUUAAUACCUGGGUGAUGAAAUAAUCUGUACCACAGAUCCCCAUGACACAAGUUUACCUGUGUAAGAAACCUUCAGAUGUACCCCCCUGAACUUAAAAUAAACAUUAGAAAAAAGAAAAGAAGAAAUGGGUAUCAUCACA
rnacentral:lncRNA from 1 species